UACGUAGGGGUGCGAGCGUUAAUCGGAUUACUGGGCGUAAAGCGUGCGUAGGCGGUUUGUUAAGUCUGUUGUGAAAUCCCCGGGCUCAACCUGGGAAUGGCAAUGGAUACUGGCAAGCUAGAGUGUGUCAGAGGAUGGUGGAAUUCCCGGUGUAGCGGUGAAAUGCGUAGAGAUCGGGAGGAACAUCAGUGGCGAAGGCGGCCAUCUGGGACAACACUGACGCUGAGGCACGAAAGCGUGGGGAGCAAACAGG
rnacentral:rRNA from 1 species